GUACUUUGGUGAGAAGAUUGGCUUAUACUUUGCCUGGCUGGGAUGGUAUACUGGAAUGCUGAUUCCUGCUGCAGUGGUCGGCCUAUGUGUUUUCUUCUACGGAUUAGUUACAAUGAAUGAAAGUCAAGUAAGCCAAGAAAUUUGUAAAGCCACCGAAGUCUUCAUGUGCCCUCUGUGUGACAAGAAUUGCUCACUGCAGAGACUCAACGACAGCUGCAUCUAUGCCAAGGUAACAUAUUUGUUUGAUAAUGGAGGGACAGUCUUCUUCGCUAUUUUUAUGGCAAUAUGGGCCACUGUCUUUCUUGAGUUUUGGAAAAGGAGAAGAAGCAUACUGACUUAUACAUGGGACCUUAUUGAAUGGGAAGAAGAGGAGGAAACACUUCGUCCCCAGUUUGAAGCAAAAUACUACAGGAUGGAGAUAAUAAACCCUAUCACAGGGAAACCUGAGCCUCAUCAGCCUUCAUCUGACAAAGUCACACGACUUCUUGUGUCUGUCUCAGGGAUCUUCUUCAUGAUCUCCUUGGUCAUCACAGCAGUGUUUGCAGUUGUGGUGUACCGUC
rnacentral:lncRNA from 1 species